GGAUAAUCUGCCCUCAGGUGAGGAAUAAUCCCGGGAAACUGGGGCUAAUGCCUCAUAGGAGACGGGUGCUGGAAUGCUCUGUCUCCGAAAGGUCCGCCGCCUGAGGAUGAGUCUGCGUCCGAUUAGGUUGUUGUUGGGGUAACGGCCCAACAAGCCUUUGAUCGGUACGGGUUGUGGGAGCAAGAGCCCGGAGAUGGAUUCUGAGACAUGAAUCCAGGCCCUACGGGGCGCAGCAGGCGCGAAAACUUUACAAUGCGAGCAAUCGUGAUAAGGAAACCCUGAGUGCCUGUCAAUGCAGGCUGUUCUGGUGUCUAACACACACCAGGAGAAAGGGCGGGGCAAGACCGGUGCCAGCCGCCGCGGUAAUACCGGCUGCUCGAGUGAUAGCCACUUUUACUGGGCUUAAAGCGUUCGUAGCUUGGUCGUUAAGUCUCUGGGGAAAUCUUUUGGCUCAACCAAGAGGCGUCUCAGGGAAACUGACGAUCUUGGAACCGGGAGAGGUAAGACGUACUUCGGGGGUAGGAGUGAAAUCUUGUAAUCCCCGAGGGACGACCGAUGGCGAAGGCAUCUUACCAGAACGGCUUCGACAGUGAGGGACGAAAGCUGGGGGAGCAAACCGGAUUAGAUACCCGGGUAGUCCCAGCCGUAAACGAUGUGCGUUAGGUGUGUCAGUGACCACGAGUCGCUGAGGUGCCGAAGGGAAACCGUGAAACGCACCGCCUGGGAAGUACGGUCGCAAGGCUGAAACU
rnacentral:rRNA from 1 species